ensembl:snRNA U2 U2 spliceosomal RNA
AUCACUUCUCAGCCUUUUGGCUAAGAUCAAGUGUAGCAUCUGUUGUUAUCAUUUUAAUAUCUGAUACACCCUCUAUCCGAGGACAAUAUAUUAAGUGGAUUUUUGGAGCAGGCUUC